CCUCCACGUGUCCGACCCCUCGGCUUGGCCAGGCCGGUGGGCAGCAGUGGGAGCUCAGGUUGCCACGGGUAUUUUCUGAGCUGCUAGCUCGGACUGUCUUCCGUGGGCCGUUGGAAGGGACUCUUCCCCACACGCGGCCGCCCCCGCGGCUCCUCUCACACGCUUUCCGUUUCUGCCUCCAGCUCAUCUGGAGCCGGCUUUUUAUAGGGUGUAACGUAGGAAUCCGGGCACAGCUCCCGGGUGACGAGCCCUCUUCCCCCUGCACCGCGGCCCCUUUGCCCUUGUGAGGCCGCGAGGCCGCAAGCCUGUCCAGGGCCAGCUUGCUCGUCACCGGCUCCUCAUCGACUCAUCCGUGCUGGUCCUGGCCUUCCCGUCCGUCCUCACGCGGGGGCCGCGGCCCUCGCCUCUUUGCUCUUUCUGCGCCUGGCGCCCCUGCUCCUGGGCCUGGAUCUUCCUCGGUGACUUCAGGGGGCGGGUUCCGAGUGUCUUUAAAAAGCUUGCGGGAACCGCGAUCUUCGUGAUGUGGAUCUGGAAACCGACCUGGGGACAGCCGUCUGUGUUCUAGGAGUUGUUUGAUCCGGUUACGUCUGCCACGAGGACCCACGAGGACCACGAGGACGGCCUCGUCAGCCACAGGCAGUGGCCGUCUUAUUUCCUCCUUCCCAACCCUGACACCUGUCACUUCAUCGUGCUUUUGGCUUGCACGUUUCUGGGACUUUGAGGGUUCCGUUAACCAGUGCGACAAGGGACAUCCUGACUUACAGGUGAUCCUGGAGAGAUCGAGUCUUGGAUUUCUGUCUUACGUCUGAUAUUUUGAGAGAGUUUUUGGAGAAAAAAAAUAUUUUAUUUUAGAGAGAGAGAGAGAGAGAGAGAGAGUAUGAGUGGGGCAGAGACGGAGAGAGAAUCCUAGGCAGGCUCCAUACUCAGUGCGGACCCUGACGUGGGGCUCAGUCCCACGACCCUGGCAUCAUGACCUGAGCCAACCCCAAGAGUCGGAGCCACCCAGGUGCCCCAGAAAUAGAUUUUAUCCAGCGGAGGACGUUCUCUGAGAGUUUUUAGAAAUUGUAAAGGGAGCGGAACUUUACGCAGUCCCUCCCGGUGUCUGUCGAGGCCAUUCCCAGGGGGACUUUGCUCCUCUAGUCCCUUCGGGAGGCCCAGGAGGCCCCAGCGGACGGUCCAGGGCGAGCGUUUCUCUGGACCGUGUUGUCCGUACCCACAUUUUGUCACCGCUACUUUACAUGCCUCUAGGGAAGACGGAACUUGCGUGUGAAACUAUGCCCGCGCCUUGUCGUGCAGAAGUUCUGUUUCACGUUCACACAGGGGCUCCCCAGACCCCUUUCAUCACAGCAUUUGGUCAUGGCGCACUCUCUGCAUGUGUACAGAAGAAAAUAAAAGCCGAGUAGGUGA